rnacentral:rRNA from 1 species
GAUGAACGCUGGCGGCGUGCUUAACACAUGCAAGUCGAACGAAGCGCUUUAAUCGAUUUCUUCGGAUUGAAAUUUUAGUGACUGAGUGGCGGACGGGUGAGUAACGCGUGGGUAACCUGCCUUAUACAGGGGGAUAACAGUUAGAAAUGACUGCUAAUACCGCAUAAGCGCACAGGAUUGCAUGAUCUAGUGUGAAAAACUCCGGUGGUGUGAGAUGGACCCGCGUCUGAUUAGCUAGUUGGCAGGGCAACGGCCUACCAAGGCGACGAUCAGUAGCCGACCUGAGAGGGUGACCGGCCACAUUGGGACUGAGACACGGGCCCAAAACUCCUACGGGAGGCAGCAGUGGGGAAUAUUGCACAAUGGGGGGAAACCCUGAUGCAGCGACGCCGCGUGAGCGAAGAAGUAUUUCGGUAUGUAAAGCUCUAUCAGUAGGGAAGAAGAAAUGACGGUACCUGACUAAGAAGCACCGGCUAAAUACGUGCCAGCA